CUGACACAGGUGCUGCAUGGCUGUCGUCAGCUCGUGUCGUGAGAUGUUGGGUUAAGUCCCGUAACGAGCGCAACCCUUGUCCUUAGUUACCGGCACGUUAUGGUGGGCGACUCUAAGGAGACUGCCGGUGACAAACCGGAGGAAGGUGGGGAGUGACGUCAAGUCAUCAUGGCCCUUACGGCCUGGGCUACACACGUGCUACAAUGGUCGGUACAAAGGAUUGCCAAGCCGCGAGGUGGAGCUAAUCCCAUAAAGCCGAUCGUAGUCCGGAUCGCAGUCUGCAACUCGACUGCGUGAAGUCGGAAUCGCUAGUAAUUCGUGAAUCCAGAAUGUCACGGUGAAUACGUUCCCGGGCCUU
rnacentral:rRNA from 1 species